AAAAAGACAAACUCUGGUUUCCGUGUCCAACGUUUGACCGUCCGUCUUAUUUAAAAAAAUUAUGAAAAAAAUUAAAAAGAUAAGUCACGUAUAAAGUAUUAAUCAUGUUUUAUCAUCUAACAACAAUGAAAUACUAAUUAUAAAAAUUUUUCAUAUAAGACGGACAGUCAAACGUUGGGACGGAAAUCCACGGUUUAUCUUUUU
rfam:Oryza glaberrima chromosome 12 Oglab12_unplaced162_41, whole genome shotgun sequence.